rnacentral:tRNA from 4 species
CGGGGCGUGGCGCAGUCCGGCUAGCGCGCUUGCAUGGGGUGCAAGAGGUCCCGGGUUCAAUUCCCGGCGCCCCGA